rnacentral:rRNA from 1 species
CCUACGGGGAGCAGCAGUGAGGAAUAUUGGUCAAUGGACGAGAGUCUGAACCAGCCAAGUAGCGUGAAGGAUGACUGCCCUAUGGGUUGUAAACUUCUUUUAUAAAGGAAUAAAACGAGGCACGUGUGCCCUUUUGCAUGUACUUUAUGAAUAAGGAUCGGCUAACUCCGUGCCAGCAGCCGCGGUAAUACGGAGGAUCCGAGCGUUAUCCGGAUUUAUUGGGUUUAAAGGGAGCGUAGAUGGGUUGUUAAGUCAGUUGUGAAAGUUUGCGGCUCAACCGUAAAAUUGCAAUUGAUACUGGCAGUCUUGAGUACAGUUGAGGUAGGCGGAAUUCGUGGUGUAGCGGUGAAAUGCUUAGAUAUCACGAAGAACCCCGAUUGCGAAGGCAGCUUACUAAACUGUGACUGACAUUGAUGCUCGAAAGUGUAGGUAUCAAACAGGAUUAGAUACCCCAGUAGUC